GGGAAAGGCAGCAUGAUUCACAGACUGGAGGGUGACAGUGACCAGAGCAAGUUUAACCUUUUAAAGAGGAAGGAUCUGUUGCUUGGCUACCAGGCAACAAGGAAGGCUACUCAGAGAGGGGUCCCCACAAGGGAUGAGGGACAAGUUGCCUAACCCUGUGGCAGACGGCUCUGCUUCUCUUCAUGUGGGCUCUGUGACUUCCACCAUCUUUUGGCCAUCCCUGUGUUAGCAAAGGCCGCACUGAUUCCUUUCCUCCUGCUCGUCCUGCUUCUCAGCACUUGGGCCUAAAAAUGCAGCGACGGGGUCUAUGUUGCCAGGCCGGUCUCCAACUCUUGGGCUCAAGCUCUCCUUCUGUCUUGGACUCCCAAAGUGCUGAGAUUACAGGCGUGAGCUACCAUCCCUGCCCUGCUUGCUCCCCCAAAAAAACUACUUCAACAAAAUGUUUACGUGUGCUUACUGAUGUUUCCUCCCCAACUACUGAAUUUAUCCUUUGCUGAGCAUUACUUGAAAUUGUCAAAAGCUGGAAGUAAUGCAAAAAGAUGACUGCUUGUCCUCUUGAUGUUCUACUGUGAUGUGUCUAACAGGCCCACCAAAAUUUAUUUCAUUCACUAUAAGAAACGAGUCUUUGCUUGCCUUCAUAUUGACUAUAUAUUAGAGCCUGGAUUCAUUAACACUUAUUAACAUUACAUGUUAAUUUGUAUAUUUUUGUCUAGUAAAGAUGAAAAUUUUUGCUCUUUGGUAGAAGAAUAAUUGCGAAGGCUACAGUUUUGUUGCACUGUAGGAUAUUAACUGAUUUUGCAUCUAAUUUAAUAAACUUAUUUAUGCAUUCUUUUCCCAACUAACUAUAUAAAUCUCUGUCCAUCAAAUGCUCUUAAGAACCGUCUUUAACAUACUGCUGGUUCCCUUGUUAAC
rnacentral:lncRNA from 10 species